AACAAACGCUGGCGGCGUGCCUAAUACAUGCAAGUCGAACGAGGAAAGCUUUCGGGUGAGUACUAGUGGCGCACGGGUGAGGAAUACAUGGGUAAUCUGCCCUCGAGUUGGGGAUAACCAGUCGAAAGAUUGGCUAAUACCGGAUAAGACCACAGGAUCUGCGGAUCUAGGGGUUAAAGGUUUUUCGCUUGAGGAUGAGCCCAUGCGGGAUUAGCUAGUUGGUGGGGUAAUGGCCUACCAAGGCUACGAUCCCUAACUGGUCUUAGAGGAUGAUCAGUCACACUGGAACUGAGACACGGUCCAGACUCCUACGGGAGGCAGCAGUAGGGAAUAUUGCCCAAUGGGGGAAACCCUGAUGCAGCGACGCCGCGUGAGUUAUGAAGGCCUUCGGGUCGUAAAGCUCUGUCGUAUGGGACUAACACAAUGAAGGUACCAUGCAAGAAAGGAUCGGCUAACUUCGUGCCAGCAGCCGCGGUAA
rnacentral:rRNA from 1 species